AUUGAACGCUGGCGGCAGGCCUAACACAUGCAAGUCGAGCGGAGCGGCGGACGGGUGAGUAAUGCCUAGGAAUCUGCCUGGUAGUGGGGGAUAACGUCCGGAAACGGGCGCUAAUACCGCAUACUAUCAGAUGAGCCUAGGUCGGAUUAGCUAGUUGGUGGGGUAAAGGCCUAACAAGGCGACGAUCCGUAACUGGUCUGAGAGGAUGAUCAGUCACAAUGGAAUGGAGACACGGUCCCGACUCCUAAGGGAGGCAGCAGUGGGGAAUAUUGGACAAUGGGCGAAAGCCUUAUCCAGCCAGGCCGCGUGUGUGAAGAGGGUCUUGGGGUUGUAAAGUACUUUCAGCGAGGAGGCGUUACUCGCAGAAGAAGCACCGGCUAACUCCGUGCCAGCCGCCGCGGUAAUAC
rnacentral:rRNA from 1 species